CUACAUUCUUUCUCCCACUCUCACAACUUUUCUCCCACCAUUAUCACACUCCAUAGAAGCCUUUGAAGCCCCAAGAGAAGUAGCAAAGCAAUGGAGAGUGUGGGAAAACUAUAGAGUGAAGGUUGUGCUUCGAGGGUCCGGGCGACAGAAAGUGAAGCCGAAGAAGAAACGACUCCACGCCAGCUUUAAGAACAAUUGAGGUUGAGCAGGCGAUGGAAUGGAUCGGUGUUGAGCGGAUUUCCCUUUUGAUGUUUAUGUAAUGAAACCUUGAGUAUGCAUCUCCAUAUGCAUAACUCACACGUUUUUUUCGCUGCAAACACUCUGACUUAUUUAUCAUUUCUACUUGAACUUAUUACUACUUCAUUUUAAUUAACUUUCAGUUGGGGUCUAGUCGUUAUGGCAGACUCAUUUGUGAAUUACCCAAGUGGUUAUAUAUAUAUACCACUAGUUUGUUAUUAA